UACGUAGGUCCCGAGCGUUAUCCGGAUUUAUUGGGUUUAAAGGGUGCGUAGGCGGACGCUUAAGUCAGCGGUAAAAUUGCGGGGCUCAACCUCGUCGAGCCGUUGAAACUGGGUGCCUUGAGUGGGCGAGAAGUACGCGGAAUGCGUGGUGUAGCGGUGAAAUGCAUAGAUAUCACGCAGAACUCCGAUUGCGAAGGCAGCGUACCGGCGCCCAACUGACGCUGAAGCACGAAGGCGUGGGUAUCGAACAGG
rnacentral:rRNA from 1 species